rnacentral:rRNA from 1 species
UACGAAGGGGGCUAGCGUUGUCCGGAUUUAUUGGGCGAAAGAGCGUGUAGGCGGCUGGGUAGGUCCGUUGUGAAAACUCGAGGCUCAACCUCGAGACGCCGAUGGAAACCCCCCAGCUAGAGUCCGGAAGAGGAGAGUGGAAUUCCUGGUGUAGCGGUGAAAUGCGCAGAUAUCAGGAAGACACCCGUGGCUAAGGCGGCUCUCUAGUAAGCGGGUCACUGACGCUGAGACGCGAAGCGUGGGAGCGA